rnacentral:rRNA from 1 species
GACGAACGCUGGCGGCGUGCUUAACACAUGCAAGUCGUACGGUAAGGCCCUUUCGGGGGUGCACGAGUGGCGAACGGGUGAGUAACACGUGAGUAACCUGCCCACCACUUUGGGAUAACGCUAUUAAACUGGUGCUAAUACUUACUAUGUGCUCCUGCUGCAUGGUGGGGGUUGGAAAGCUCCGGCGGGUGGGGAGGGACUCGCGGCCUAUCAGUUUGUUUGUGGGGUAGUGGGCUACCAAGGCGGCCACGGGCGGGCGGCCCGAGGGGGUGGACGGCCACAAUGGGGAUGGAGAACGGGCCAGGACCCUACGGGGAGCAGCAGGGGGGAAUAUUGGACAAAGGGGGGGAGCCUGAUGCAACCAAGGCGCGGGCGGGAUAAAGGGCUUUGGGUUGGAAAACGGUUUCCGCAGGGACGGAGCUGUGUGUGACGGUACCUGCAGAAGAAGCACCGGCUAACUACGUG